rnacentral:rRNA from 1 species
AUCGAACGCUGGCGGCAGGCCUAACACAUGCCAGUCGAACGAACUCUUCGGAGUUAGUGGCGGACGGGUGAGUAACACGUGGGAACGUGCCUUUAGGUUCGGAAUAACUCAGGGAAACUUGUGCUAAUACCGAAUGUGCCCUUCGGGGGAAAGAUUUAUCGCCUUUGGAGCGGCCCGCGUCUGAUUAGCUAGUUGGUGAGGUAAAGGCUCACCAAGGCGACGAUCAGUAGCUGGUCUGAGAGGAUGAUCAGCCACAUUGGGACUGAGACACGGCCCAAACUCCUACGGGAGGCAGCAGUGGGGAAUCUUGCGCAAUGGGCGAAAGCCUGACGCAGCCAUGCCGCGUGAAUGAUGAAGGUCUUAGGAUUGUAAAAUUCUUUCACCGGGGACGAUAAUGACGGUACCCGGAGAAGAAGCCCCGGCUAACUUCGUG